UGGGGAAUUUUGGACAAUGGGCGCAAGCCUGAUCCAGCCAUGCCGCGUGAGUGAAGAAGGCCUUCGGGUUGUAAAGCUCUUUCGGUGGGGAAGAAAUUGCUUCGGCUAAUACCCGGAGUAGAUGACGGUACCCGCAUAAGAAGCACCGGCUAACUACGUGCCAGCAGCCGCGGUAAUACGUAGGGUGCGAGCGUUAAUCGGAAUUACUGGGCGUAAAGCGUGCGCAGGCGGUUGUAUAAGUCAGAUGUGAAAUCCCCGGGCUCAACCUGGGAACUGCAUUUGAGACUGUACGGCUAGAGUGUGGCAGAGGGGGGUGGAAUUCCACGUGUAGCAGUGAAAUGCGUAGAGAUGUGGAGGAACACCGAUGGCGAAGGCAGCCCCCUGGGCCAAUACUGACGCUCAUGCACGAAAGCGUGGGGAGCAAACAGG
rnacentral:rRNA from 1 species